rnacentral:misc_RNA from 1 species
AGCAGCCGCGGUAAUUCCAGCUCCAAUAGCGUAUAUUAAAGUUGUUGCAGUUAAAAAGCUCGUAGUUGAAUUUCGGGAUCAAUUAAUCGGUCGUGCCUCUGGUACGCACUGGUUUUAUUGGUUUCUCCCUUCUGACGAACCAGGAUGUCAUUAAUUUGGUGUCUUGGAGAAUCAAGACUGUUACUUUGAAAAAAUUAGAGUGUUUAAAGCAGGCUAACGCUUGAAUACAUUAGCAUGGAAUAAUGAAAUAGGACGUUUGAUCCUAUUUUGUUGGUUUCUAGGAUCGACGUAAUGAUUAAUAGGGAUAGUUGGGGGCAUUAGUAUUCAAUUGUCAGAGGUGAAAUUCUUGGAUUUAUUGAAGACUAACUACUGCGAAAGCAUUUGCCAAGGAUGUUUUCAUUAAUCAAGAACGAAAGUUAGGGGAUCGAAGACGAUCAGAUACCGUCGUAGUCUUAACCAUAAACUAUGCCGACUAGGGAUCGGAUGAUGUUAAUUUUUUAAUGACUCAUUCGGCGCCUUA